CCCCUCAAUAUUUAUUCACUCUGUAUCUAUCACUCUCUCCCUCUUUGCAUCUCUUUCUCACAUAAACACUAAACGUGAACUCGAAGAAUUUAUCCAAAUAUUGGGCUUAUUGCUUUUGGAGACCAUAGUCAGCCUCAAAUGGUGAGAACCAUUGGUUUGGCUUGCGUAUAUAAAAGUUUAAGUCCGUGUACGCUCAAAUGCUCAAUGCCUCAUGUGAAAUACUCACAAGGUAAUGAAAUUUUGAAAUUGAUCCCAUAUAACUUCAUACGCCAUGCCUCAACUCGGUGGUUGAAGAGUAGGGGAGCGGGUGGGCUUCGGUGCUUGAAUUUUUCUACAAGUUUGGUGAAUUGGUGCAUACCAUGCCUUAUUUACUACCACCGAAGUACAAUGAGCAAGUGAAUGGCGAAUCUUCUGCAAGUUCUACAAAGUAAUGCACCAGUGUCGAUGAUGUCGUACUCAUUGCUGAGAUGGUAGCUAUCAAGGCAAGGAUGGUUCAAUGUUAGUUAAUUAUAAAAAUUAUUACUUGGCCCUUAACUUGCAACAUUUUUAAGUAACUUCCUAUAUUACAACUACUGUAUUCAAGAACAUUUUGAUAUCUUGACACAUAUGAUGUCAUCAUGUGAACAUUGUUUAACAUUCUUAUAUCUGUAUACACAUUUUAAUAUUCUAUAAGAUGUAAUAUCAUUAAAGAAAA